UCUUCGAUCCCCUAAAAUAUUACAGCCAUCCGUUUAUAACCAUAUAGAUUAGUAUACUUUAUUUCUAGCUAGUCUCCCUCCCUCCCAUAUGUAUGAAAUUUGUACACUGAUCGGAGGGGGGAUUCAGUUGAGAAUGUGUGUAUGCUGUAGGUGCGCAGACCCCAAUCUGUUAACGUAUUUGACAGGGCCCCUGGGGCAGUCAACGGCCACUAUGGCACAGAACGUCAACAUCUGGUCGGGAAUGGGGUGAUCGUUGCUUCCGCUCUUGGGGUGCGUUUCUGGCCGGCCGACUCCUUUCUCAGGUCUCUACCGCACCAUUGUCCUCUGCAUCCUGGAACCCCUCGCCCAUUGUGAUGACAAUCUUCAAUCUUGCGUUCAGGCAUUUGGGGGCGAUCAAUUUGAUGGACGAAUUAAAUCCCGAUCGAAGAGCUCAAAGCCGAAAGCUCAUUCUUGAAUUGUUGGUAUUUUGGUGGUUUAUCUGUCAGCGGCUUGGUAACACUUGCCAUCUUGAACUUUAUACAAGACAGCCUUUAUUCGAUCGGGGCGGGUGGGAAAGGAAUAUAAAAGACUCAAGGAGCUUCAAUUAGAAUUUUGAAAUAUUUAACCGUCCAGGACUUUCUCUCGUAGGACUCUAUGCACAUUUGGAUUUCUCUUCGCUAGGAGGGUUUCAUUUACCGUUAUAGAACAGAAUUCUUGGUCGUGAAGCAGAGCAAUCCAUGCUCCAUAAAGGAAGUCCAGUAAGAUUACUUGCUAAAAUAACUCAAGUCUCUGUCUCAACCCACCUUGCUAGAUUCCCAAGUAUUGGAUAACUUUUUCUAUUCACGCGGCUAAAGGGACAAAAUUAAAUUAGUUGCUUGUCUAGAUCAUCAUAACAGUAACUCAUCUCUAAUAGCGACUUGUAUUUCCUGAUACGGUAGGUUCCUCAACAAAGUUUUUCUUGCACCAGAUGGUAAUUCCAACGAAGGUGGGGAAGGUGUGUAGCAUCAGUGAGGUAUGGAUGACAAGCUUGGUGUAUGCUAUCGUGUUUGCACAGCCCCUGACUUUCUUUACAAAGCAAGGAGCUACGAUAUUGGAUAGAGCAAUUCCGCCAGCCGCUUCUCUUCAAUCCUUUAGCAGCCUUCCCCAUUGUUCUCCUUGUCCCAUAUAUGACUGCAUUUUUGUGCGGCGCCUAUAGCGAGAGCUUCCACCAGGAAACCCUGGCAUCACAGCGCUACAGAGAAUUGGAACCGGGAUGCUUUUAUUUCGACGGCAAUUGUAGCUCAAGUCGAGAUUACAAGGGUAAAAACUACUCAAGAAUAUGGGUUCGUUGAUUUUCUGUAGGUGAAGGUCCCCGAUGAUCAGCAUAUGGUGGCUGGUUCCUCAAUAUGUCUUGUUCGGGAUUUCUGAUGUUUACCCGAUGGUUGAUCCGCAAGAAUUUUCCAUGAUCAGGUCCCAAAUGAAUUGAGGAGUGUGGGGCUUGACCUGUCCCCUAGUAUCUUUGGGAGUGGGGGAGUUUUCUCAUCGAAGCAACUGGUAGGAAUAAUUGAACCACAUAAACUUUGUUCCGCGAUUGAUUUCACUUUUAAUUUUAAUUUUAAUUUUUAUCUUA